ACAACUUUUUCGUUAAUUACAGAAACAACAGCUCCUGUGUCAACAACUGCACGUACGGCGAUACUUUCUACCAAUAAAUCAAUUUCGUUAGGCGGGUAGAAAUGAGGUCUUGGACAGUUCGAUGACGGCGCAGUUCUUG
rnacentral:lncRNA from 1 species